UACGGGGGGGGCAAGCGUUGUUCGGAAUCACUGGGCUUAAAGGGCGCGUAGGCGGGCAUCCAAGUCAGUGGUGAAAUCCUCCGGCCUAACCGGAGAAGAGCUGUUGAUACUGGGUGCCUCGAGUGGUGCAGGGGUCUGCGGAACUUCCGGUGGAGCGGUGAAAUGCGUAGAGAUCGGAAGGAACGCCGGUGGCGAAAGCGGCGGACUGGGCACCUCCUGACGCUGAGGCGCGAAAGCCAGGGGAGCAAACGGG
rnacentral:rRNA from 1 species